CGGGUGAGUAACACGUGGGUGAUCUGCCUCGCACUCUGGGAUAAGCCUGGGAAACUGGGUCUAAUACCGGAUAUGACCACGAAUCGCAUGGUUUGUGGUGGAAAGGUUUACUGGUGCGAGAUGGGCCCGCGGCCUAUCAGCUUGUUGGUGGGGUAACGGCCUACCAAGGCGACGACGGGUAGCCGGCCUGAGAGGGCGACCGGCCACACUGGGACUGAGACACGGCCCAGACUCCUACGGGAGGCAGCAGUGGGGAAUAUUGCACAAUGGGCGAAAGCCUGAUGCAGCGACGCCGCGUGAGGGAUGACGGCCUUCGGGUUGUAAACCUCUUUCGACAGGGACGAAGCGCAAGUGACGGUACCUGUAGAAGAAGCACCGGCCAACUACGUGCCAGCAGCCGCGGUAAUACGUAGGGUGCGAGCGUUGUCCGGAAUUACUGGGCGUAAAGAGCUUGUAGGCGGUCUGUCGCGUCGAUCGUGAAAACGUGCAGCUCAACUGCGCGCCUGCGGUCGAUACGGGCAGACUAGAGUACUUCAGGGGAGACUGGAAUUCCUGGUGUAGCGGUGAAAUGCGCAGAUAUCAGGAGGAACACCGGUGGCGAAGGCGGGUCUCUGGGAAGUAACUGACGCUGAGAAGCGAAAGCGUGGGUAGCGAACAGGAUUAGAUACCCUGGUAGUCCACGCCGUAAACGGUGGGUACUAGGUGUGGGUUUCCUUCCACGGGAUCCGUGCCGUAGCUAACGCAUUAAGUACCCCGCCUGGGGAGUACGGCCGCAAGGCUAAAACUCAAAGGAAUUGACGGGGGCCCGCACAAGCGGCGGAGCAUGUGGAUUAAUUCGAUGCAACGCGAAGAACCUUACCUGGGUUUGACAUACACCGGAAAGCCGUAGAGAUACGGCCCCCCUUGUGGUCGGUGUACAGGUGGUGCAUGGCUGUCGUCAGCUCGUGUCGUGAGAUGUUGGGUUAAGUCCCGCAACGAGCGCAACCCUUAUCUUAUGUUGCCAGCGCGUAAUGGCGGGGACUCGUGAGAGACUGCCGGGGUCAACUCGGAGGAAGGUGGGGACGACGUCAAGUCAUCAUGCCCCUUAUGUCCAGGGCUUCACACAUGCUACAAUGGCCGGUACAGAGGGCUGCGAUACCAUGAGGUGGAGCGAAUCCCUUAAAGCCGGUCUCAGUUCGGAUCGGGGUCUGCAACUCGACCCCGUGAAG
rnacentral:rRNA from 1 species